GCUUGAUUUAUUGCUUUAUUACUGUAUUAGCGUGGCCUAGUGACAUGUAAACCUACGUGGAUGAUAAUCAACCGUCCGAUUUCCAGAUGAAUGGCCUCCUCACUAAGCACAAAUUUUUUUGGAAAAAGAGGUUGAUAUCCAAUGGUACCGUCAAAAUAUAAUUAUAAAUAAAAAAUUUAUUUAUUUAUUUAUUUAUAUUCCUAAUUAUCUCUUGCCUCGCAUAUUGUACUGGCCUUUUUUUUUUCCCCCUCCUGAACGUGGAAUCCGAAAAGGCAUCUGUCUAAGGUUGGCGAAGGUUCACGAUUCUCCGUAUCUCUAGCUCUCAGUUUUCUUUUGAAAUUCGUCUGUGAGAGAUCCUUCACUAUCCACUGGUAUUCCCCUCCCCAGCUUUGUGAGAGGAGAGGAGAGGAGAGGCGAGGGUUUUAUUUUUAUCUUUUUUUUUUUUUUUGGUUUUAAUGGAUUUGGAUCUGAGUUUGGAACGCUUACCUGCUUGUCAAUUUGGGUGUUUGGUUGAGAAGGUGAAAUGGUAAAUCUAUUCUAAUAAUAUAGUGCAAGAAGCCCUUACUUUUGUUUCUUAAUACUUAUUCCUUGCUUUUGUUUCUUAAUACUUAUUCCACUGUCCCAGCAUGUCUAAUUUCAUAGCUUGCAUUCAUAGUUCAAAAUGAAUUAUUAUUUUCUGGACUUUCUAGCUUGUAAGAGGUUGCUGUUCUAUUUAUGAAAUCUAGAAUAACAAAUACUGGUAUCAUAGUUGUUUAAAAAAUUAAGGUGUGGAUCAGUGUCCUCUUUUUGUUUUUCCAGAUGAUGGGGUAAGCCAACUUCUAUUUUUCUGAUUAAAAUCAUUUCUUUAUGCAUAUUUGCUUAAUUUUCUUAAUUAUAUUAUUUAUAUUUGCCUUUGCUAAUUCUAUAAUUUGCUGCAGUACUUGAUAACUGCCAUUGUUAAUUUUACGUGUAGAAGAGAUUUCAUUUAUUCUGCUUAUAAAAUUUAGUAUCCCAAUUUUUAGAGAAAUUUUGAUUUUUCCUUUAGCAUGAUAUGAUGUGGUUUUAUAAGUUUGAAUUUAUUCAUGGUGUCUAUAGUUGGACACUGUUGGUUAAUGACAAUCAUAACAAUCUCACUGAUACUGUUUUACGUUGGCUUGCAAGAUCUUAUGCUUUGAAGAAAGUUUUGGCAACUCAUAUUCUCUCUUGGUAAGGAAUGCAAGACAUCUAUAAUAAUUUCCCUUCCGCCAUGAUUGUUUUACUAUAUGUUUUUACAAUGUGUAUAUGCUCCUAUUUUAGCAGAUAAUUUCCAAGCUUUGACAUCAUUGGUUGACAACGAGAGAGAGCACGUUUGUCAACAUUUCAUGCUAGUGACAUGACUGUUUACAUGCGUGCUCUCUAACGUUGUCAUAAAAUGUGCUCAAAGUAGGUUUCUUUCACUUUCUCCAUGUUCAUUGGCAGGGGGACAAGCAGAUGUGAUGUUUAACACUGUUUGGGAGGAGGUUUUUGGAGGUAAGGUGUGGGUUUUCAAGGUAAUGUGUAUAUAGUUGACAUGUUUGGGAGCAAAGUUUUUCAAUGAGGUAAGGUUUUUGAGGUUUUUCAAAGCCUCCAAAACCUUUACUUUUCAGCCAUAUAUAUAUAGAUUUUGAAGAUUUUAAUAAAUAAUAAAUUUUAUAUUACACAUAUUAUCCUUAUUAUAUAUUUCUAAAUUAACUCUUUUACAUUGGCUAUAUUCUUCUUUUCUCUCUUUCAUUAUAGUAAAACUCAAUUGUAACACUAUUAUCCUAAUAACAUAAUUUAGGAAGCGUUAACAUAUAU